GGGUUAGUAGGUUGGUCAUGCCUCUGGUAUGUACUGGUCUCACUGAUUCCUCCUUCCUGAUGAACCUUAAUGCCAUUAAUUUGGUGUUGCGGGGAAUUUGGACUGUUACUUUGAAAAAAUUAGAGUGUUUAAAGCAGGCUCACGCUUGAAUACAUUAGCAUGGAAUAACGAAAUAGGACGUUUGAUUCUAUUUUGUUGGUUUCUAGAACUGCCGUA
rnacentral:rRNA from 1 species